rnacentral:lncRNA from 1 species
UAAAGAAUUAUCUUCAUCCAAGUUUUUACAAACAUCUUAUCUUCAUUCAUGGUUUUGAAUUUGAUAGAUAAUCGGAGGACAAAUAUCCAAAGAUGGAGGAGAGCAAGGCAGCAGUCUUCUUCCGCCUCUGCAGCAGUCUUCUUCUGCCUCUGCAUCAUUACUUAGACAGUGCUCUGAAUCGACUCAAGGGUCUACUCACUUCCGCACAACCACAGUGGUGGCGGUGGUCACGGUGGAGAUAGUGGCGCCGGUUGUAAUCUUUUUAAUCUGCACCGCCUUUUCACUAUGAAGGUGU